rfam:Danio rerio chromosome 23, GRCz11 reference primary assembly.
UCUGGCGGCAGCUAGCUCUUUGCAACUCUCACAUGGUCGCCCACUGAAGCUAAGCAGGGCUGCGCCCGAUCAGUACCUGGAUGGGAGACCACAUGGGAAAGCUGGGUUGCUGCCGGAA